ensembl:lncRNA
UGUAUUAAUGUAGAAUACAGUGUGUGCAUGAUGCCGGACCUCAGCCAAAAGCGCCUGAAUUCAACCAAUAAGAACAUUUUGAUUCAAAAGAAAAGAAUAGAGCCACGGGACAAAUAACAAAAGUGAAAAGACCAAACUGAGCAGACGGACAGCCGGGUGACCUGCAGCCAACAGGCGGUAACAGCUCUCAGGCAGACGGUGGCAGUAGAGUGAAUCCAAAUGUCUCCGUGGUGCAAACGGGUGCCCGUGUGGACUCUUUGGUUACCAGUCGUCUGCUCUUUCUGUAUUAAGUUAAACAUUCUGAAAGAUGGGCAGGACAACGCAUCUAAUCUUUACUAACCGCCACGAUCUGUGCAGUCAAUAUGUCUUCCAUGAACUUGCUCCACCGGGUGUAACAAUGAGAGAAACAACCAGGGGACGUCCGGCCACAUUAAAUCUGCUCAAACUUGUUGCCCAUAUUGCUGAAGGCAAACCUCCGUGUGUAUGUAUUUGUGUGUGUGUGUGUGUGUGUGUGUGUGUGUGUGUAAGCAGGUCCACAGGAAGUUUGGGGUAUUUUGUUUGUCUUCAUUUUAAUUAGUUACUGUGUCUGGGAGUUUGUCGUUACAUUUUAAUGGAUGAUUGUGUUUUUUCUCUGCUACAAGUGGGUUGAAUUUAUUAAUCCUUGUGUUACUCUAUAUUUUAAUGUAAAGCCCAUUGAGUUUACUUGUGUAUAUAUUCCUUGUAUGUCUGACAUAUUAUGGCAAUAAAUGUUUCCUGAUUUAAACAUCUGCACACUCCGCGGUCAAUAUGUUGAUGCAGUUUAUAAUUAUAUGUAAUGAUUUCAUACAUAUUGUAUUAUAGUGAAUUUAACUCGAGACCAUGUUCACCAAAAUGCUGAGACAAAUUCCUUGUUUGAAAACUCACUUGAUCAUCACCUCGUUUCAGACUCUGAUUCAAACAAAGUGUGCUAAAGAAACAAGUGAUCUGUGUCUUCCCGGUGUCACUGGUCCUUAAUAGAAUUUACAUCUUUGCACACUGUACUGCUGCACCCCAAAGCAGAAUAUAAAACAUAUUGUUAAAAUACCUGGGUGUUAUCUCUGUCAGCUCACACAGUGCCGUCACAGGCCCCCGACUAAACCUCUGGCUAUCGGCCCCGGAGAUCUCCACCUUCCCCCAAACACAAUAGAACUGCACGGCACUCGGCCCGUGGUGCUCAAAACGGCCUCUCUCGUCCUGCAGGUUC